AACGUUCAGUUGCUAGGUAACUUGCGAGGCAAGUGGGAAAUACUUGAAGCUGGAAAAUUGAGGUAGUCAACGUCAUCAUUAGCUACCUGCUUAAGGCUGCUGAAGUCCACUUUGCCUCUGAGGGCAAAACAGCUUUUUUUCUCCAGGGAUUGUUAUGCUGGUGUAGGAUGUCUGCUAUGCAUUGGGAAGCCCGGCGCCGGCAGACCAUGGUGGACCGCAGGAUGUCCAGGGCCAAGCAGCAGAUGACAAAGGACCCUUCCGAGCCAAGCUCAAAGCCACUGGCAGAGUCUAACGUACCAGCUCAGCAGCCAGCCGUGAAUGAAUGUUCACACUGCAAAAACAAGCUCCAGUACAGUGCUAAGAUUGACAACAGAUACUCGUCCAUACAGUACUCCCAGCAGUGGUGAAGAGCCCAUAUCCAGUCAUUUGCGAAGAAGACGACUAAUAUGGACUGGACCCAACUGUCAUCAAGGCAACUUUUUCUAUGCAACUUCGGCACCACUCAGUGGCCAUUUCAAAGUAUAACACCCUUUAAUCAUGUGACCAAACAAGGACUGUGAAAUCAGAAAGCCUGAGAAAAUACAGUAUUGACUACUUUAAAA